rnacentral:ncRNA from 1 species
UCCGUUGGGGUGCCGAGAGGCUGAGAGGCGUGGUUCGCGCCAACCCAUCGUACCUGAUCCGGGUAAUGCCGGCGAAGGGAACGG